CGCAGACGCGUGCUGCUAUAAAGACUACUAUAGCACCCGUCCGGAAUAACAUCCCAGACUCUGGGCUUAGAAAAUUCUGACCGCUAGCGUUAGCCGAGAACCGCAAGAUGUACAUCGAGAACCGGGAGGCUCGCCGUGCAAAUACAGCACUUAAAUCACAUUUUUCUGUUGCACAAUAUACCGAUAAUUUGAAAUACCAUUGGCAGAAGAAUUGGAGAAGUUGCCACAGCGUCCUUACAACUUCUUCAUCAGAAGUAAGAUUCAUUUCCCAUCUUGAUUACUGGCUGCUCUAUGCACCUCUCCACAUUUAGAAGAGAGAAUUGUGAAGAUUCAAGAUGACUCUUGAGGAACUCACAGCUUAAGAGAGCCAUAAUUUAUAACAUAAGUGUGCAAAAUCAGUACUGGUAUAGUGGGUCACUGAAGUCAUCAUGUGAUUUGAAAGGGAUAAUAAUUAAAUGUGAAGUACACCUUGUUUAA